rnacentral:rRNA from 1 species
UACGUAGGGUGCGAGCGUUGUCCGGAAUUAUUGGGCGUAAAGAGCUCGUAGGCGGUCUGUCGCGUCUGCUGUGAAAACCCGAGGCUCAACCUCGGGCCUGCAGUGGGUACGGGCAGACUAGAGUGCGGUAGGGAGAAUGGAACUCCUGGUGUAGCGGUGGAAUGCGCAGAUAUCAGGAAGAACACCGAUGGCGAAGGCAGUUCUCUGGGCCGUAACUGACGC